rnacentral:rRNA from 1 species
UGGCGUCGGACGUAAGAUGACUGGUAGGUGAAAGCUUACAUCUCUUCCGGAGCUAGUUUUACGAGGUGCUGCAUGGUUGUCGUCAGCUCGUGCCGUGAGGUGUCGGGUUAAGUCCCAUAACGAGCGCAACCCCUACCUUUAGUUGCCAUCAGGUUAAGCUGGGGACUCUAAAGGAACUGCCUACGCAAGUAGUGAGGAAGGCGGGGAUGACGUCAAAUCAGCACGGCCCUUACGUCCAGGGCUACACACGUGCUACAAUGGCCGAUACAGAGGGCAGCUACCUGGUGACAGGAUGCAAAUCUCCAAAGUCGGUCUCAGUUCGGAUCGGAGUCUGCAACCCGACUCCGUGAAGUUGGAUUCGCUAGUAAUCGCGCAUCAGCCAUGGCGCGGUGAAUACGUUCCCGGGCCUU